rnacentral:ncRNA from 1 species
AUAGGGGAUGCCGAAAACCUUAUUAGAGUAGGCA